UACCAGCACCCCGAGUGGUCGGGACGAUUAUUGGGCCUAAAGCAUCCGUAGCCGGUUUUACAAGUCCUCCGUUAAAUCCAGCUGCUUAACAGAUGGGCUGCGGAGGAUACUAUAAGACUAGGAGGCAGGAGAGGCAAGCGGUACUCAGUGGGUAGGGGUAAAAUCCGUUGAUCCAUUGAAGACCACCAGUGGCGAAGGCGGCUUGCCAGAAUGCGCUCGACGGUGAGGGACGAAAGCUGGGGGAGCAAACCGG
rnacentral:rRNA from 1 species